rnacentral:rRNA from 1 species
GAUGAACGCUGGCGGUGUGCCUAAUACAUGCAAGUCGAACGAAAAGACGCUGAGCUUACUCCGUUGACGUUAGCGGCGGGCGGGUGAGUAACACGUGUAUCACCUACCUCUAAUUCGGGGAUAACUUCGGAAAACCGGAUCUAAUAACGGAUAACAUGUUGAACCGCAGUGGUCAACGGUGAAUGACGGUCUUUGUGUCACGUAUAGAGGGAUACGCGUCGCAUUAUCGGGUUGGUAAGGUAACGGCUUACCAAGGCAACGAUGCGUAGCCGAACUGAGGGGGUGAUCGGCCACACUGGAACUGAGACACGGUCCAGACUACUACGGGAGGCAGCAGUAGGGAAUCUUGCGCAAUGGGCGAAAGCCUGACGGAGCAACGCCGCGUGAGUGAAGAAGGUCUUCGGAUCGUAAAACUCUGUUAUUAGGGAAGAACAAAUGUGUAAGUAACUAUGCACGUUUUGACGGUACCUAAUCAGAAAGCCACGGCUAACUACGUG